AAAAAGAUAAACCCUGGGUUUCCGUGUCCAAUUUUGACUGUCCGUCUUAUAUGAAAUUGUUUUAUAAUUCGUAUUUUUAUUGUUGUUAGAUGAUAAAAUAUGAUUAAUAUUUUAUGCGUGACUUGUCUUUUUAAUUUUUUUUCAUAAUUCUUUUAAAUAAGACGGACGGUUAAACGUUGGGCAUGGAAACC
rnacentral:pre_miRNA from 1 species